CCACUGUGCUUCUGAUGACCCGGCCGCCGCCGCCGCCCUGCAACCGCUCCCCGGGACCCCUCAACGCUGACACUGAUGACCCGCGGCGGGGGCGCUGGGCGCGGGGUGCGCAGGCCACUGGCCGCGGGCUCUCGGGCCCGCUCCUGCCGCCGGCUUCUGCUGCUUCCGCGGUAAUGACACUCGGCGGAGCGGCCGCCAUCUCUUCUGAGCCGAGCAUAGAUUGAUGUGGCAUAAGUGCUCAAUAAAUGCCCAUGGACUUGGCUAAUGGAUGGACUUGCAGGGGACACUGCCCCAUCAGGAGAGAAAGUGCCGUGGACACUGCCAGAAUUUGUCAAAGGUCCUAGGAAGAAAAGGCUCUUUCACCCCUCCCCUCAAUGAACAGAUGGCGUGUUUGGACUGUUCGCAUUCGCUCCUCAUAGGUGGGAUCCUGGAGGAAGUUAAGGGGUGCUCCGUUCCCUGGGGAUGGGACAGCAGCUCGCCUUUUUACUAAUAGCUAUAAGGGACUGUCAGACAUUUACCUGACUAGACCUUCACCUCAGAGCUCAGAAGGGGAACAGCUCCAGAACUAAAAGAGAGAGCCUCUGGCAGACCCCAAAAGACAGCAUGUGGAGUGAAGCUGGGCUUCCCUGCCCAAUCACUAGGAUCAUUUAUUGCACAAAUACCUGUAUUUUAAGCUGCAGAUUAUUGUGAAUUUUUGUAUUUUCUUCAUUUCCAUUUAGCUUUUUUUCAAUUUUAGAAUAGCCUUUCUCUAGAUAACUCGAGGAAGUGGGAGACGGAAUUUCCUUUGUUUCUGUCUUGAGCCCAAAGGGACAAUUGAGUGUCAGGUAUGACAGGGAUAAAGGGAGAAACUCAGAAAUAAUGCUUUUGUUUUGUUUUGUUUUGUUUUGAGAUGGAGUCUCGCUCUUGUCGCCCAGGCUGGAGUGCAAUGGCAUGAUCUUGGCUCACUGCAAACUCCACCUCCUGGGUUCAAGCGAUUCUCCUCCUCAGCCUCCCAAGUAGAUGGGCUUACAGGCAAGCGCCAUCACGCCCGGCUAAUUUUGUAUUUUUAGUAGAGAUGGGGUUUCACCAUAUUGGUCAGUCCGGUCUUGAACUCCUGACCUUGUGAUCCACCCACCUUGGCCUCUCAAAGUGCUGGGAUUACAGGCAUGAGCCACCGCACCCAGCCAGAGGAAUGUUUUGGGUGCUACACGUGCAGCCCCUCAUGACUGUAUCUCCUCAGAGCUCUUUUCUUCACAUUCCUGAGUGCUUUGUGUUUUGUUUAUUUAAGGGACAAAUGAAUCUCUUCCCACGCCAUGGGAUUUCCCUUGAUUUUUAUAUUGGGAGUGAAAAGAUGAAGCAUGAGACUCUUCAGCUGCAUCUCGAACUGCAUCUAAUCCCAGCACAUCUCUCUCAAUCUUUGAUUAAGUCUGUUCAUCUAAAAGAGAGACACAGGGGAAAAAUGGAAAUGGGACUUUGGAAGAAUGACCAUCCACAUUCCCAUCACAGCCUGAGAUUUCCUACCUGAUUGAGAUUUUCAGUAGAUGGCCCUAGGUCUAGUUUCCCACUUUGGACCUGCUGCCCUUGGCUCCAAUAGAGGACUUCCAAGUAACUAGGAAGAUUUCACCUCUCUUUUGAAACAUAAUGGACAAAUGUGUUUCUUUAGGAUGAGAGGUGCACCUGGCUAGUCAAUCUUUAUUUUCCUAAAAUAAACAGGAUGAAAACUCAAAACAAAAAGAAAUACCUCAUGGGCAAAAGCUCUCCCAAUACAACUAAUACAGACACUCAACAUGGCUUUGUAGAAACUGACCCCUCUCCCAAGUCUUAUGUUUGUCAGAAUUGCAUGCCUAUUUCAAUCGAAGAAAAGUGAUCUGAUCUCUUCAGAUGAAGGUGGGACUUGGAGAUGCUGCUGCCUAGAGUUAACUUGCCAGAGAAAGGAUAAGCAUUCGGGAAGUGCCAGGAUGGGGUAUCAGCUGAACAAUGGCAGGAUCCCUUCUGCCAGUGGGCUGGCUCAGGGAGUAAACCUCCCCGGAAGGAAUUUUGUUUCUCUCUAGAAUCAAAGUGGGCAAAAUGAUCACCUUAUUCGCCUGGAGUGAACCAGGUUGAAACUGAGAAGGCAGACAUGGGUGAUAAGCCAGAUGAAGUCAUAUGUUAUAACUAAGCUAUGUACCUGUAACUUGCCUGGUAGUUUUUUCAUUCUCUCUAAACAGGUCAUAAUAAGUGUUAGUCUGUGAUCCACUAUGGAGAGAGAUUUCUGGAAAGAAUAGAGGCAGUGGUAGAGGGUCCAAGGUUGUUAUUUAAGGAGAUGAAUGUGGGUCAGGUGCCGUGGCUCACACCUGUAAUCCCAGCAUUUUGGGAGGCAGAGGCAGGAGGAUUGCUUAAGGCCAGAGUUCAAGACCAAACUGGCCAAUAUAGUGAGAUCCCCCCCCCAUCUCUACAAAAGAUAGAAAAACUUAGCCAGGCAUGGUGGCAGGUGCUAUAGUCCCUGCCACCAUGGGACUACAGCUCCUGCAGUCCCAGCUACUCAGGAGUUGAGGCGGAAGGAUUGCUUGAGCCCAGAAGUUCGAGGUUGCAGUGAGCCAUGAUCAUGCCACUGCACUCCUCCGUGGGUGACAGAGCGAGACCUGACUCAAUAAUAAUAAUAUUAAUAAUAAUGAUAAUGCAACACAAACUAUCUUUUACCUCUUGAACAAUGAAUGCAGAUGCCAUGACUACAUCUGUUUGUUGGGGACCAGGGAGGCUGCCAGUGAGGAUUCAGGGUGGAAGUAGUGUGUACCCAAUACCUAUUGUGAGAUGUGGCCUGGGGAGCCCUGAGAUUGCCUGGCCAGGCUCACUCACUACCCAGACACCCUCUUCCUGCAUGGCGAGUCCCUCAGCCCCUCCAAGGCUCAAUUCUCAGACAUCGGAGUAAUCCACAUCCUCCAUCUUGAGUUACUCCUCACAAGGCCUGCAAGUUUUCCUAGGAGGAAGGGAAGACAGGGUUGAACCCACACAAUUCUAGAAUCUAGAAUUUGGAGGAUUUCUAAACCAUUUCUGUAAGUCAGCCCUUGAGAACUUGUAGAUUUUCUCAUCAUUUGCAGCAUGAGAGUCUGGAGUAGACUGUUUGGAUUUGACUCUUGGUUCCUUGGGCAAGUUACUUAACCUCUCAGCUGUGUGUCAGUUUCCUUAUCUAAAAAGUGUGGUUAAUAAUAACUGACCUCUCAGAGGUAUUGUGAGGUUACUGUGAUGAUUAAAUUAGUUGAUUCAUAUAAA
rnacentral:lncRNA from 1 species